UACGUAGGCAGCGAGCGUUGUUCGGAGUUACUGGGCGUAAAGAGUGCGUAGGCGGUUUUCUAAGUUUGGUGUGAAAUCUCCCGGCUUAACUGGGAGGGGGCGCCGGAAACUGGAAGGCUUGAGUAUGGGAGAGGUAAGCGGAAUUCCUGGUGUAGCGGUGAAAUGCGUAGAUAUCAGGAGGAACACCUGCGGUGUAGACGGCUUACUGGACCAUAACUGACGCUGAGGCACGAAAGCGUGGGGAGCAAACAGG
rnacentral:rRNA from 1 species